rnacentral:rRNA from 1 species
GCAGCCGCGGUAAUACGGGGGGAGCAAGCGUUGUUCGGAUUUACUGGGCGUAAAGGGCGCGUAGGCGGCGCGACAAGUCACUUGUGAAAUCUCUGAGCUCAACUCAGAACGGUCAAGUGAUACUGUCGUGCUAGAGUGCGGAAGGGGCAACUGGAAUUCUUGGUGUAGCGGUGAAAUGCGUAGAUAUCAAGAGGAACACCUGCGGCGAAGGCGGGUUGCUGGGCCGACACUGACGCUGAGGCGCGAAAGCUAGGGGAGCGAACGGGAUUAGAUACCCCGGUAGUCCUAGCCUUAAACGAUGAAUGCUUGGUGUCCGGGGUUAGAUAGUCCCCGGGUGCCGUCGCUAACGCUUUAAGCAUUCCGCCUGGGGAGUACGUGCGCAAGCAUGAAACUCAAAGGAAUUGACGGGGACCCGCACAAGCGGUGGAGCAUGUGGUUUAAUUCGACGCAACGCGA